rnacentral:lncRNA from 1 species
GUGUGCAUUAUCCCUUGUAUGCAUUCACUAUAAAUGCUAUCCAAAUUGUGAAAGUUCCCAAAUGUGUAACCCAUCAUGAUACAUCUCAUGAGAUGUAAACUCAAGAGUCUACUGUCAAAUAAAUUUUAUACUAAUUUGUCACAUGGCCAACCCCAAAUGGAACAUGUAUAAAACAGUAUUUGAGUUAAAAUCUAACAUAUAUUUUCCCCCACUCUUCCUCAUUUAAGAAUUUUGAUAGCAAUCUAUAAAAUAAAGUGAAAUAUCUACAGAUCAUCCUCUAUUCCUUUCUUUCAUCAUCUCUGACUUCCAUACUAUUUGUCACACAAGAUUGCUCUAAGUUGCUGGUCUCUUAACUGCAAAUACAUUUCCAGGAUUCCUCAUUUGCACCCUCCUCUUCUCACAAUUUCUGCUUUUGGUGGCAUAUUUGUGUGGUGGAUAAAUUUCCUACCCUUACUAAUGUUUGCCUUUACUGGUGAGCCUCCUCAUUUGUAAUUUUCUUCUCUCUAGUUGUGGCCUUUUCUUUCUGGCUAGAGAAGUUCCUUUAGUAUUUGUUGUAAAGCUGGUCUGGUGGUGCUGAAUUCUCUUAGCCUUUGCUUGUCUGUAAAGGUUUUGAUUUCUCCUUCAAAUCUGAAAGAAAGCCUUGCUGGGUAGAGUAUUCUUGGUUGCAGGUUUUUUUUUUUCUUUCAUCACCUUAAGUAUAUCAUGCCACUCCCUUCUGGCCUGCAGAGUUUCUGUUGAAAAAAUCAGAUGAUAAUCUUAUUGGGGUUCCCUUAUAUGUUAUUUGUUGCUUUUCCCUAGCUGCUUUCAAUAUUUGCUCUUUGACUUUAAUGUUGGUCAGUUUGAUUAAUAUGUGUCUUGGUGUAUUCCUCCUUGGUUUUAUCCUAUUUGGUAUUCGUUGUGCUUCAUGGAUUUGAGUGAGUGAUCCUUUCCAAUGUUAGGGAAUUUUUCAACUAUUAUUUCUUCAAAUAUUUUCUCUGGCCCUUUCUCUCUCUCCUUCUGAGACCUCUAUAAUGCCAAUGUUGGUGCAUUUAAAGUUGUCCCAGAGUUCUUUUAGACUUUCCUCAAUUCUUUUCAUUCUUUUUUCUUUAUUCUGUUCCACACUAGUGACUUCCACCAGUCUGUCUUCCACCUCAUUUUUUUGUUCUUCUACCUCCUAUAUUAUGCUAUUAUUUCCUUCUAGUGAAUUUUUUAUUUCAGCUAUUGUGUUGAUCAUCUCUGCUUGUUGAAUCUUUAAAUCUUCUAUUCCUUUAUUAAACCUUUCUUCUAAUUCAUCAAUAUUUGCCUCUAUUUUUUUCUCUGAAAUCUUAGAUCAUCCUUAUUUGCAUUACUCUAAAGUCUUUUUCAGACAGGUUUCCUAUCUCCACUUCACUUAGCUGUUCUUCUGGGUUUUUUUUCUUGUUCCUUCAUCUGACUCAUGUUUCUCUGACUUCAUUUUGCAGAGCUUUUGUGAGGUCUCCUUUCUGUAGGCUAGAGGGUUGUAGCCUCUCUUUCUUCUGGUGUCUGCCUCUUCAUGGGUGAAGUUGACUGAUACAGGGGCUUAUUAUAGGCUUCCUGCUGGGAGGGACUGGUACCUGCCCACUGGUAGGUGGAGCUGAUUCUUAUCCCUCUGCUGGGUGGGUCUUUGUAUCUGGGUAUGAUUAGGGCAGCCUAUUUGCUGAUGUGUGGAGCUGUGUUCCCACCCUGUUUGUCAUCUGGCAUGGGACUUCUCAGCCAUGAUGGGUGGGGCCAAAUUUUUCCAAAAUGGUCGCCUCAGGGGAGGUCACACUGAUGAAUAUUCCCGGGAUCUCUGUGUCCAAUGUCCUUCCCCCACAGUGAGCCAUGGCCAACCCACUCUCCCAGGAGACCCUCCAAGACCUCCUGGUGGGCUUGAUCCAGAUUCUUAUAGAGUCUCUGAUUUGCCCUGUGAUCCAUCACAUGAAACCCUGUGUGCCCUCCUAGAGUGAAGUCUCUGUCUCCCUGAGUCCUGUGGAGCUCCUGCACUAGUCUUCAAUGCCAAAUUCUCCAGGGGCCCCUCCUCCCAAUGCCAGACCCCCAGGUGUGAGAACCUGACAUGGAGCUCCAAACUCUCACUCUUGUGGGAAAACCUCUGCAAUGUAGUUAUUUUCAAGUCUGUGGGUCAUCCCCCAGGCAGUUAUGGGAUUGCUUGUAUCAUGGAAGCACCCCUCUCCUACCAUCUUGAUGUGAAUUCUUCUUUGGAUAUAGGAUAUCUUUUUUGGUAGCUCCCAGUCUAUUUUGUUGAUGGUUGUUCAACAGAUAGUUGUAUUUUGGUGUUUUUGUGAGAGGAGGUGACCUUGAGUCCUUCUACUCUGGAAUCUGGUCUCUGUCAAUUAUGUUCAAUUUCCCAUGUUCCCUUGCAGUCCUGUCCACACGUUAUAAAGUUUAGAUGGUCUUUUGCAGGAUGCUGUUGUUGGCUCUGAAUUAGUGACCAACAAAUUGUUCUUCCUUUCCUGUUUGUUUCUUGUCCUCUGUGCUAAAUCUAGUCUUACUGGCUCAUGGGAUGGACAGCUCAUGCAUCUGGCCCUUCAGACCGAGUUCCUGAAGCCAGAAAUCCCCACCCACCUAUUAUUACAAACUUACACACUGUUUUUCUUCUAAUAAAAUCUUUUAAAGUACAUUAACUUAAUUUGUCAAAUAUUAAUUCUAUCAUUAACGUACUUAAAAUUUAGAAAAUAAUAAUACGUAAAGAUAAAGAAUAACACGUAAUUUUCUGUUUGUUAAAAUGGAAAAAUAGUGAAAACCUCAUAAUGACAUAGUCAAGUGGAAUGUUUUAUUAUAAAUAUAUGAAAUUUAUAACUUUUCUCAUUGGGUUGACAAAAAUCUAUUUUCUUGUAAGUUCUUAAGAUUUUAUAAUCAACAGAUAAGUCAAGUUGACCUUAGUUUUGUACCCAGGGUCAAAGUAUAAAUAACAAAACAAAAUUGACUAAUUGGCCUCCCUAAUUAACAUGCAUAUUUCUUCCUAUUAUAGUCCAUAAAAACAAAAGGUAGUGUUUUAAUUAUUCUGUGCACAUUUUCCGUGUGUAUGAACUUAAAAAACUUCCUAGAAUCUGACCUCUAAUUUGAACUCUUUGGAAUCAUUUAACACAGUUCUUGAAAUCUUUUUAAAUUAGAACUAAUUCACAGAACUUUUCUCAAUUUCAGUGACAGAUCAUCAAAAUACUUUGCUUCUUCUUUUACCUUAAAAGAUCCUUAACUACACACAUCUAAUUAGAGGACUAUUUUCACCAGCUUAUUCUCUUCAAAUGUUAACCUAAAUUCUAAGCUUAUGUUAGAUCUUAUUAGGAAACAUGAAAUAAAUACCACUAAGAUGAUAUCAAACUUAUUUAUGCAUAUAAAUAUCUUAAUGGUAAAUACAUGCAUAUUUGACUCUAAUAAAAACAAAUCAUAUUUAAAAUGUAUCAUUUAUUUAAAAUAACAAUUACAUGUCUAUAUUUUUAAAAAUACUAUACAUAUAUUAUUACCUAAAUUGCCAAUAUAUAAUGCAAUAUAAUUUCCCCAAAUUUAUAAUAUGCAUAUUAGUAAAUUUUAUCUUUAUGUUGUAUUUGAAAUGAUGAUUUGAUAAUAUAUUUUAAAAGGAAUAUAAAGAGCUAUCUGCCUGUAGUAUAUCAAUAACUAAAUACUCUAAAAUUUAAGUAAUAUUUUAAAUAGAAUUAUGUUUAGAAUUAUACAUAAAAGCAAAUAUGUUUUUAAAUCACCUGUAAUUCAGAGUAAUUUGUGACAUCAACUUGAAAGCCGGAAAAACACAAAAUGUGAAAUAUUGUUUCUGGAGAAGAGAAGGAAGUAAGAGAAAUUUAUUUGGCAUAACUAUGUAACAGAUAUUCUAUUAGCAAAUCUCUAAAGUUGAAUUUUUUUUUUGUAGCCAUCAACUACAAUUGAGUUCUCAUUAUUAUCUAAACUUCCAUUGUUGUUCCUUUGUGUGUAUACACACACACACACACACACAAAUUUAAUAGCUGACAUAAAACUUACUCCAAUCCCUCCAGUCAGAAAUGUAUCCAUUUCUCUCCUCUACACUUGUCACAUACUCCCUAUAUACUCCCUAUAUACUAGGUUAUUUUGGUAUAUACUCCCUAUAUACUAGGUUAUUUUGGUAUGUGUUUCAUCCAGGAGAAUUGCAUAUUUUUCUGCAGCCAAUGGCAUGAUUUAUAUUUUCAUGAUAACAAACAGCAACACACUAUGUAAUUCUGUAUAUGAGUAGUGAGAUCUGUAGGUUUUUAUGAAGUCACCUACACCAUACCCUAUUUCAAAAUUACUGAAGUGUUAAUAUCAUAUUUAUACUUUCCAAAAGACCCAUUUACAAACCACAAAUAAAUAUAACACUAAACAGUAAAAAGCUUUAAGGGGAGUUCCCAUCGUGGCUCAGUGGAAAUGAAUCUGACUAGUAUCCAUGAGGACACAGGUUUGAUCCCUGACCUCACUCAGUCAGGUAAGGAUCCUGCAUAGCCCUGAGCUGUGGUGUAGGUCACAGAUGCAGCUCAGAUCUGGC